rnacentral:rRNA from 1 species
UGACCUCGGAUCAGGUAGGGAUACCGCGUACAU